GAGUUACAACCAGCCCUGGAAUGAACUGAAUUCUCUUACUUUGGGUUACACAUUCUUCAGGGCAGCUAUGUGCCGUUUCACGACGGGGACGCAUUCCGAGAAACUGCUGUGCCCGUUGGAGUGAGCCGCGGACACAGAUGGCCAAGCCCUGUGCGCGUGCACGGCCUGUUGUGUGGGGCCCGGCUGCAUUCGAUCUCAGCGCCUCACUUUGUUUCUUGGUCACAUCGCAGCUGUGGUUUGCGUACGUGUCUCCGCGGGUCCAUGUGUUAAGGUGCUGCUUCGCUCAGGCCCAGGGCAUCGGGGCCAACUGAUCACGAGCUGAAACUUCCAAACUGGAUCGAACUCAGAACCUUGUGCUUGCCAGGCAGGUGUGGUGCCACCGAGCUACAUCCCUGGCCCGAAAAAGUAAUUCUUCCUAUCGGCCCGCAGUACUGUUACUUGCUUUGUGUCAGUGUGAACUGUGUCUGGGAUCACUUUCCAUCCUUUUGAAGAUGCUCUGGAGAUAUUUCCUGCAGGUUCUGAAGGAGGCCUUAGUCCAAGUGGAUCUCGGGUCACAGGCUUGUUGGAACCGAGAGGUCUGAGGAGACCGUUUCUCUCCAGUGGUGAAAAGGGCAACCCUGGCUGGUCCUCAGGCCCUGGAGGGCACCGGGGCAGAAGCAGUUAAGAGAGCAACGCCAGAGUUUCUGGCGGCCGAGCCCUGCUGGGUUCCAGCUCUAGGUGUCUGCUGGAAAGUGCAGCUGGGAGCCAGGUGACACGCUGUGUGUGUGUUUUGCUGUUACCAGAGAAACAAGAGGGAAAAAUAAAGAACAGUUUCCACAAAAAUCCAAACGGA
rnacentral:lncRNA from 1 species